rnacentral:lncRNA from 1 species
UGAAGAAUGAUGGCGACGAGGAAGGGGCCCCAACUUGAAGGUCUCUUCUAGUUAACAAGACCUCGGUCGGCCCUGGAGGAAGUUAUUCUAGCCUUCCGGCCGCGGACGAUCGCAGUCAGCGCGAGAGAGAGAGAAAGGGAGAGGGAACAGAGAACUAAGGUACUUCGAAGCGGGAUGAGGCAGAGACGAGACGGAGUCUGAAGGCAAGAGCGUAGAACUCUCAG